GCCGCGCCACGCCGGGCUUGGCGCGCCCGCGCUGGACCCGGUCUCGAUCCGGGUCCUGGUCCCGAUCCCGGUCCCGGUGCCGGGUUCCCAGGCGGUACCCCUGCAACGUGGGUGCCUAGGUAGGAAAAGGGCAUCCCUCGUUCUGGGCGUGUUUGUCGUCAGAGGGGGAUAUUCUCCUCCAUUUGGCUCGGGAGAGGCCCUGAUGGUGCUCCUGCAUGCGAUUGCUGGCACUGCACGUGAGGAAAGGUACAGGCUGGGCGGAAUCCAGAGGGAAAGAAGAGGAAUGAAACACGGUCAGAAAAACGUGCGCUACCACAAGGAACCAUUAGACCCAAACCUAUGGAAAAAAGAAAAGUCUUUUGGAGCAGCAAGACAAAGCCGAAAAAUGUUGCUUCCUUCAUAUUCUCUCCACAUUGAGGAGGCACAGGCUUCAACCACAAACACAUCUUCAGUCUUCUUCUGGGUUGCCUUUUAUUGUCUUCCUCUGUCGUGCUGUCUUGCAUCUUCAGCAUGAUAACACACUGCUUCCUGCUUCUCUGGGUUUUUCUUAGCACUCAUGCUUUCCGAGCUGUGAUCCUAGGAGCAUGGAGUUCAAUGAAGAUGUGGCUGUCUCAGCUGCCUACAACACAGGCAGGACAGUGGAGUCUGGUGGCCAAAGAGAAAAUUGCAUCCACCAUGACCACCCCUUCCACCGGUGAGAUCUUCAGCAAGCGGCUCUGGCCUUACAGCUUCUGUUCCAUGUGCACAACAGCCCCACACAUGUUUCUUCGUGGCUGAACCCCAGCUGGACAUAGUGCUUGCAAGCUCCGGACAGCAGUCCCUGUAUUGUAUUGACUCUAGAAGCGAUGUUAACAGUAUCAAUGUUUUCUCUUGUUGCUCUGGCUCUGGGCUGUGCUUGGUUUGUUGGGGUGCAGAUGCAGAGCCAAGUUUCCUCAGAUGUAGAGCUAAGGGUUGGUAUGAGUAAGGUAAAGGUUGAGAAACUGGGACAGUGCCAGUUGUCCACUCUCCAGGACCCCUCUAUACAAAAUGCAUGCAGGGGUGAUACCAUCUGUCCCCCAAAUCAGCGAAAGAACCAGCUGCAGAUGCAGCUGGAGCAGACAGCUACAGGAACAGCUGCUGAUCAGUCUCUUGAUCUCAGUUUUAAUAUACACCAAGGUCCCUUUUGUCUGUUUUUCUUAUUAUUUACUUAGGUUGGCCUUUCUCAGAACCUCCUCCCACCAAACCAUGACAUUUCCUGCAAUGACUUCAUAGCACUUGGUUUUGCUUUGGUAUCACCAGUCUUUAUCUCUUUAAAAUAAAAAACAUUCUCUUUGCAACUCCAUGGGCAUCAUCACAAUGACAGGGAUUGCAAACACUAGAAUAGUUGGUUGUUGAGGUUGUGAGAGGUGGUAGUGAGAUGGGAGGGACUCUGAGUAAUAUUACAAAGAUGAGCAAAUCUUUCUCCCUUUUUCUGGAGAACU